rnacentral:lncRNA from 1 species
GGCGGGGCUACCCAUCGGAACGGACGCCCCAGUCUGAAGCAGGACUCCCCGGGCUGGGCGGGGCUCCCGCCUCUUGGGCGGGAGUUAGCGCAUCUGGGCGGGGCUACUCGUUAGAACAAACUCCCCGGUCCGAAGCGAGGCUCUGGAGUCUGGGGCGGGGCUUAGCGCGAUUGGGGCGGGGGUCUGAAGAGAUUAGAGCGGUUGGGACAAUCCUGGAUUGAAAAGUUUAGCCUACACUGGUUUAGAACUCACAUGCUUCUAGCCUCUACCACCACUUGCUGAGAUUCAAGACUUCUUGAACAGCCACUACCAUAAAUGCUCUGGUCCAUCUCGUACGUGUUCCCGUGUUGCAGGCGGCUGUUGGGGAAGAUGACCAGGACUGAAAACAGAGCAUGCUUUGUAUCAGAGCUUCUCAGACUAUAGACUACCCUAGAAACAUCUGGGAGCCCUGUUUCAAGACAAAGCUUCAUUCCAUAGAUCUACAAUGACCUGACAUGGCUUCUGACAGAACAAGCUCCUGGCAAUACCAGUGCCUGACUAAGAAAGCUUAAAGCUUUGGAACACACCAGAAGGCUUAAGGCUAACACUGACUGAAGAGGAGGACCUGUUGUAUUGAUUCAGUUUGAUCUCUGGAGCAGCUAGAAGCAAAGAACAAAGCCUUGACCAUCAGUUAUAGAAUAUAAUUCCUCAAUUACUUGAAAAUUCUUCAAUCAUAUCGUGCAUAAAUAUGACAAAAAGAAGGUGAGGAUCAGGCCCAGGGCAUAUUCAGAACUGAAUACUUCUUAGUCCUUGGAAUGCCCCAUCCAGAGAGAGCAGAGACAACUCAGCAGCUGAAGAGAAGAGCAGUAUUCUGCUCCUAGGCUUGUUCAUGAAGCCUAUCAUCCAUCCUGCUCCCUGCAUAUCAGGCUCAACCACCAAACCAUGCUGUUUUAGAAUCUGGACAGAUGCCACAAUGUGUGUACUCAAGAGGAACACAAGUGAGAUACUGUCCAUGGUGAUUGACUUGUCUUGAUGAACUGUUCUGUGUAGGCUUUUGUUUCUCCAUCUAUAAGAUAGAUGGUUUUAAAGGACUGGUUCUUCUAGCUCUCACCUUACAGAAAAACUAUUAAAGGAAAUCAAGAAUGCAGGCAUGGGCAAUGUUCGGUAUUCUUAGCCACUGAGAUUACAUUUUAAUCUAGUAAGCAUGGUUAUCACCAAGAAAAAAAAACCUACAGUCAAUGCUGACAAGGAGUUGAGGAAAGAGGAACCCUUGUUCACUGUUGGUGGCAAUGUGGUCUGGUGAAGUUUUUAUGGAAAUCAAUGUAUAGGGUCCUCAAAAACUCAAACGAGUAUUACCAUAUGGCUAGGUGAUAGCAUUCCUGUGCAAAUAUCCAAAGGCAUCUGAGUUAAUAUACCACAGAGCCAUUUGUGUACCUAUUUAUUGCUGUUCUCUUUACAAAAGCCAAAAUAUUGAAGGAAUCACCCUUGAUGUCUAUUAGCAGAUGACUUGCUAGUAAAAAUAUGGUAAUAUGGUGCAUAUAUACAAUGGAAUGCAAUUUAUCCAUAAAGAAAAGUGGAAUUAUGUCACUUGUAAGAAAUGAAUAUAAUUUAGGACCAUCAAAAGAAAAUAAAGCUGAAUCAGAAC